rnacentral:lncRNA from 1 species
GUUAUGAAUAUUAUUAGUGGAUGUCCUGGCCCAUGUAAUUGGCCCAUUAUGUUUACCUAUAUAUAGAUACUAUGUAUCACUAUAUUGUAACCCUAAUCCUAAUGGUGAAUAACAUACACUAUUCAUUCUCUCUUCUUCAUCUAUACUACUGUUCUUAUUUACAUUAGUUUAUAACACGUUAUCAGCACGAGCUUACCAACUGAGGUACGCAAUUCUUAUUCUAUU